GACGAACGCUGGCGGCGUGCUUAACACAUGCAAGUCGAACGGUGAAGCGCCUUCCUUUUUGGUGGGUGUGGAUGAGUGGCGAGCGGGUGAGUAACACGUGAGUAACCUGCCCCCUUCUUCUGGAUAACCGCAUGAAAGUGUGGCUAAUACGGGAUAUUCUGGGUCUGUCGCAUGAUGGGUCUGGGAAAGAUCUUGUUUCGGUGGGGGAUGGGCUCGCGGCCUAUCAGCUUGUUGGUGGGGUGAUGGCCUACCAAGGCGGUGACGGGUAGCCGGCCUGAGAGGGGUGACGGUCACACUGGGACUGAGACACGGCCCAGACUCCGACGGGAGGCAGCAGUGGGGAAUAUUGGACACUGGGCGCAAGCCUGAUGCAGCGACGCCGCGUGAGGGAUGGAGGCCUUCGGGUUGUGAACCUCUUUCGCCAGUGAAGCAGGCCUGCCUCGUUUGUGGGUGGGUUGACGGUAGCUGGAUAAGAAGCGCCGGCUAACUACGUG
rnacentral:rRNA from 1 species